rnacentral:rRNA from 1 species
GGGUUGUGAGGUUAAGCGACUAAGCGUACACGGUGGAUGCCCUGGCAGUCAGAGGCGAUGAAGGGCGUGCUAAUCUGCGAUAAGCGCCGGUAAGGUGAUAUGAACCGUUAUAACCGGCGAUACCCGAAUGGGGAAACCCAGUGUGAUUCGUCACACUAUCAUUAACUGAAUCCAUAGGUUAAUGAGGCGAACCGGGGGAACUGAAACAUCUAAGUACCCCGAGGAAAAGAAAUCAACCGAGAUUCCCCCAGUAGCGGCGAGCGAACGGGGAGGAGCCCAGAGCCUGAAUCAGCAUGUGUGUUAGUGGAAGCGUCUGGAAAGGCGCGCGAUACAGGGUGACAGCCCCGUACACAAAAGCGCAUGUGCUGUGAGCUCGAUGAGUAGGGCGGGACACGUGGUAUCCUGUCUGAAUAUGGGGGGACCAUCCUCCAAGGCUAAAUACUCCUGACUGACCGAUAGUGAACCAGUACCGUGAGGGAAAGGCGAAAAGAACCCCGGCGAGGGGAGUGAAAAAGAACCUGAAACCGUGUACGUACAAGCAGUGGGAGCCCCACCACUAAGCCAGUGGUGAACUCCACAUACGCAUCCUUUGCUGAGGAUACGGUUAACGGAGCGCAAGCGACGUUCAACCUCAAAAGAAGCAGAGGGGGCUUAGUGGUGGGGUGACUGCGUACCUUUUGUAUAAUGGGUCAGCGACUUAUAUUCUGUAGCAAGGUUAACCGUAUAGGGGAGCCGGAGGGAAACCGAGUCUUAACCGGGCGUUAAGUUGCAGGGUAUAGACCCGAAACCCGGUGAUCUAGCCAUGGGCAGGUUGAAGGUUGGGUAACACUAACUGGAGGACCGAACCGACUAAUGUUGAAAAAUUAGCGGAUGACCUGUGGCU